ACUUGGCUCAUCUAUGAGUUUUCAAUUGCUGCCAUAACAACUAAUCAUAAAUGUAGUGGCUUAAAACAAUACCCGGUUACUAUCCACAGUUCUGUGGGCCAGAAGUUCGGGCACAAGAGAUCUCCAGCCAGGGAGCACAGGCAGAAAUCGAGGUGUUAGCUGGGCUGGGAUCUCACCUGGAAGCUCUGGGGGAGACCCCACUUUGAAGUAGAAUUCAGUUCCCUGCUGUUGAGGACUGAGAUCCCCAUUUCCUUGACACAGGGGCCCUUCGUCUUCAAGCCAACAGCAGCAUCUCACAUCUCUGACGUGCCCUCCUGCUGCCAGCCAGAGAAACAUCUCUGCUUUUCAGGGUUUAUGUGAUUACAUUAGGCCUCUCCAACAAUGCAGGGCAAUCUCCCUAUUUUAAGGUCAGCUGAUCAGUAACCUUCAUUACAUCUGCAAAGCCCCUUGUGCUACGUGACAUAACAUAUUCACAGGAGCAACAUCGGGGGUCAAAUCUUGCAGACUACAGCUCAUUUGAUUGCAAGUGCUAUAAAUCUCCCCCAAUUAGUUUAAACUAAAGGGAAUUUACUGGCUGAGAAGUUCAGGGGUGACACUGCCUUCAUUAUGGAUGGAGCCACGCCUGACGGUAUCAGAUCUCAGACUCCACCUCUCAGCUCUCUGUCCUGCUGCGCGUGCCCUCAUUCUCUCCUACUGCAGACUGAUUUCCUUCAGUUCCAAUUUUGUGUGUUCCCAGAUUACUGACCCACAGAAAAAGGGAGCUUCUCUAUUCUAAUGUUCAAUCAAAGCCCUUCCCCCUGGACUUUGAAUUUAAGUAGAGUGUUCUAGUAACGGGGAAGUGGUUGGUGUUCAUUCAUUCCCGUACCAUAAUAAUUCAUUCUUGACACUGAGACCCACUAUAUCCCUAAGAACACUCUGGGUCUUAACCUUUUCUGAGUCUUACCUUCUUGACCUCCUUUAGUAGAUGCUGUGGUGCCCUACCCAUAUGUUCUUUACCAGCCAGUGUAUCUAUUACUCAUGUACAAGUUAUGUCUAGCUUAUAACGUAUAAACUAGACGCAGCCUAUACCUGCAGCUUUCUCCAGAGCAUCACCCUAGGCUGACUGGGACACCUCACUCAGAGAUGUCUGAGAGGUUUCAGUAUCCCUCACCCCAAGCCAAUGACGCAAUGCAGCCAAUGAUGCACGGAUAGGGAGGUACAAAACUCCAGUCUUCAGCCAGACCUUCCAUUGCCUGAAUCCAGCAUUGGGUGGAGCACGAAUGAACUGAAACCAAAUCAAAUCUGUGUUCUCCUUGCUCCUGACAGAUCUCCGGCAAUUAGCAUUCCAGAGUUGUUUUCAAAGAACUG
rnacentral:lncRNA from 1 species